rnacentral:rRNA from 1 species
GACGUAGGGCGCAAGCGUUGUCCGGAAUUAUUGGGCGUAAAGAGCUCGUAGGCGGCUUGUCACGUCGGGUGUGAAAGCUCGGGGCUUAACCCCGGGUCUGCAUUCGAUACGGGCUGGCUGGAGUGUGGUAGGGGAGAUCGGAAUUCCUGGUGUAGCGGUGAAAUGCGCAGAUAUCAGGAGGAACACCGGUGGCGAAGGCGGAUCUCUGGGCCAUUACUGACGCUGAGGAGCGAAAGCGUGGGGAGCGAACAGG